AUUGAACGCUGGCGGCAGGCCUAACACAUGCAAGUCGAACGAGUGGCGGACGGGUGAGUAACGUCUGGGAAACUGCCUGAUGGAGGGGGAUAACUACUGGAAACGGUAGCUAAUACCGCAUACCAUCGGAUGUGCCCAGAUGGGAUGUGCGAGGAGGGGGGGUAACGGCUCACCUAGGCGACGAUCCCUAGCUGGUCUGAGAGGUUGACCGGCCACACGGGAACGGAGACACGGUCCAGCCUCCUACGGGAGGCAGCAGUGGGAAUUAUUGCACAAUGGGCGCAAUCCUGAUGCAGCCAUGCCGCGUGUUUGAGGAAGGCCUUCGGUUUGUAAGGUACUUUCAGCGGGGAGGCGUUACCCGCAGAAGAAGCACCGGCUAACUCCGUGCCAGCAGCCGCGGUAAUAC
rnacentral:rRNA from 1 species